rnacentral:lncRNA from 1 species
AUGGAUUUGAAUCCAAUUAUGAAAGGAAGAGCCAUGUCGUUAAAGCCAUAAAUUUUUGCUCUUGGGUGGGCCCUCUCCCUAGGUAGUGAGUGAGUCGUUUAGCCAUUAUAAACCAUAUUCUUUUAGAUAUUCACAGUCACGAAAAACAUGGGCGAGUGUUUUAUUUUUGUUACAGUCUUUGCUCUCUAUAUAAUACACUCCAAAUGUGACCCGGUAAUUCCUUCCAUGGAGAUGAUGUAGGCGUAUUUGCGAUUGUCCUUCUGCAUACUUCCAUGGAUAUUCAACAAGAUGUGCUCUCUUGUUCCAAGAGAAAAUCAAAAUUUUAUAGUUUAACUCUAGCUCCAUCAUUCCGAGCCCCCCUCUAGCCUAGGGUCAGAAAAGUCUCCCAUGACUGAUUUAUUUUGGAGUGCUAACACAAUCUUUCUCUUCCAAUACUGGGCCUUCAAUUUAUCAGAAGGGGUGCAUCGAAAAAUCUGGUUAAUUCCUGAAAGUAUUGUCAUAUUCCAACAUUUUAUUUCAUCAAGAACCCCAAGUUUGUGCUUCUGGACUUCUAUUAUUGAGUGACAUAUUUUCUCAUCUAUCCGAUGUAUGUUCUGGGAUCUCCAGUCCUCUAUUGAAACCACAUUGGCAAGGACAAAUGCUUUUUGAACGAGAUAAGUAGGGCUAGUUUUGUUUAUUUUUUCCCUUAACUUUGUCAAUGUCUGUGUUUUCUUAUCAUAAAUUACUAAACCUUACUCUCUUCCAUUUUCUUUCAGGAGCGUAUCCAGGCUAUCUCUUUCUUCCUCAAAUUUGUCACCUCUUAGUAUGACUGUGCAAUCGUCUGCAAAAAAACAGGGUUCACACUGCCAAUGAAAAGAGACUAGGACUUAUGGGAUCCCCUUGAAACAUUCCUCUUUGCAAUUUUACCACUGGGUCUCCUUCAUUAUUAAUGGUUGAUGUUGCGUUGGACGUUAUAUUUUUAAUUACAUUGCAAUAUAAUUGUGGAAAUCCUAUAUUUUUCGUCUCACCCUACAGAAAGGAAUGUUCUAAAGAAUCGAAAGUUUUUUUAAAAUCCAAGAAGAGAAAAUCAAAACUUUGGAUUCUCUGCUUCGAGAAUUCAACAAUUGGUUGAAUAGACAUUACUACAUUUCUGCUUGCCUGCUCUUUCUAAAGUUAAACUGAGUAUCUGGGAGCACUCUUUCCCUUGUUGGUUUCAUACAUUCCGUCAGACAUCCACUUUUAAAUUGUAUAUUCUAUUUCCAAUAAAGUUAAUGCCCUCCA